GACGAACGCUGGCGGCGUGCUUAACACAUGCAAGUCGAACGGAAAGGCCCUGCUUUUGUGGGGUGCUCGAGUGGCGAACGGGUGAGUAACACGUGAGUAACCUGCCCUUGACUUUGGGAUAACUUCAGGAAACUGGGGCUAAUACCGGAUAGGAGCUCCUGCUGCAUGGUGGGGGUUGGAAAGUUUCGGCGGUUGGGGAUGGACUCGCGGCUUAUCAGCUUGUUGGGGGGGUAGUGGCUUACCAAGGCUUUGACGGGUAGCCGGCCUGAGAGGGUGACCGGCCACAUUGGGACUGUGAUACGGCCCAGACUCCUACGGGAGGCAGCAGUGGGGAAUAUUGCACAAUGGGCGGAAGCCUGAUGCAGCAACGCCGCGUGCGGGAUGACGGCCUUCGGGUUGUAAACCGCUUUCGCCUGUGACGAAGCGUGAGUGACGGUAAUGGGUAAAGAAGCACCGGCUAACUACGUG
rnacentral:rRNA from 1 species